AAUCAACGCUGGCGGCGUGCCUCAGACAUGCAAGUCGAACGAUCAAAGCUCCCUUCGGGGAGUGCAUAAAGUGGCGCACGGGUGAGUAACACGUAAGUAAUCUACCCUCGGGUGGGGAAUAACAUCGGGAAACCGAUGCUAAUACCGCAUAAUGCAGCGGCACCGCAAGGUGACAGUUGUUAAAGAUUUAUUGCCUGGGG
rnacentral:rRNA from 1 species